AUGAACGCUGGCGGCGUGCCUAAUACAUGCAAGUAGAACGCUGAAGGAAGGAGCUUGCUCUUUCCGGAUGAGUUGCGAACGGGUGAGUAACGCGUAGGUAACCUGCCUGGUAGCGGGGGAUAACUAUUGGAAACGAUAGCUAAUACCGCAUAACAGUAGAUGUUGCAUGAUAUCUACUUAAAAGGUGCAAUUGCACCACUACCAGAUGGACCUGCGUUGUAUUAGCUAGUUGGUGAGGUAACGGCUCACCAGGGCGACGAUACAUAGCCGACCUGAGAGGGUGAUCGGCCACACUGGGACUGAGACACGGCCCAGACUCCUACGGGAGGCAGCAGUAGGGAAUCUUCGGCAAUGGACGGAAGUCUGACCGAGCAACGCCGCGUGAGGGAAGAAGGUUUUCGGAUCGUAAAGCUCUGUUGUAAGAGAAGAACGAGUGUGAGAGUGGAAAGUUCACACUGUGACGGUAUCUUACCAGAAAGGGACGGCUAACUACGUG
rnacentral:rRNA from 1 species